GCCCCUGUGGCUCAGUGGCUAGAGCGGCCGCCUCGUAAGCGGCAGAUCCCGAGUUCAAAUCUCGGCAGGGGCU
rnacentral:tRNA from 1 species